rfam:Physcomitrella patens subsp. patens PHYPAscaffold_169 genomic scaffold, whole genome shotgun sequence.
ACGACUAUACUUGAACAGGAUCUGUUCUACAGUCCGAACACCUGAACUCUGCUCUCCAACACGAACAAAACCUUCAACCCAGACGAUGAUUCAGGGCUCCCCGGCUUGAGCGCGUUUGCGCUGCACCGGGUGCUGUGCCAGUUACCAGUGGCCCUGCUGGACUCAUGUGCGGGGUGGAUGGGCUACUGUGUGUAGCCAGCAGCAGCUGCAGCAUCUGCCAGAUGAGCGUCCCGCCCUCUCUCAUAUUCAUAUUCCCGGGGGCGGUGAUGGCCGGAGAGCGUUCUGACGGGGC